CCUACGGGAGCAGCAGUAGGGAAUCUUCCACAAUGGACGGAAGUCUGAUGGAGCAAUGCCGCGUGAGCGAAGAAGGUUUUCGGAUCGUAAAGCUCUGUUGUGAGGGAAGAACAAGUACGGGAGUAACUGUCCGUACCUUGACGGUACCUCAUUAGAAAGCCACGGCUAACUACGUGCCAGCAGCCGCGGUAAUACGUAGGUGGCAAGCGUUGUCCGGAAUUAUUGGGCGUAAAGCGCGCGCAGGCGGCCUGUUAAGUCUGAUGUGAAAGCCCCCGGCUCAACCGGGGAAGGUCAUUGGAAACUGAUAGGCUUGAGUACAGAAGAGGAAAGCGGAAUUCCACGUGUAGCGGUGAAAUGCGUAGAGAUGUGGAGGAACACCAGUGGCGAAGGCGGCUUUCUGGUCUGUAACUGACGCUGAGGCGCGAAAGCGUGGGGAGCAAACAGGAUUAGAUACCCGAGUAGUC
rnacentral:rRNA from 1 species